rnacentral:miRNA from 8 species
CUGUCAAGCUGAUUAAGUAUUGA